rnacentral:rRNA from 1 species
GUUGGUCGUGAGGCUGACGAAAGUUGAGCAGGCUGAGCUAGGCUUUUGUCUCUAUUCCAAACUUGACCUCAAUCAGGUAGGACUACC